UCUUAUUAUUACACACUGAAGGAUAUGAUGAGGUCUGCUGGGGUUGUCCGGCUCAUUUGUGAAACGGAACAAAAAAAACACACGUCUUUGUCUGUUUUUGUGCCAUGUGAGCACACGGGUGCUUGUGAGAGGUGACGACGGAC
ensembl:ncRNA F46G11.18 ncRNA